UCCUGGUUUCCCAGGCAGUCCCAUCAGAGUGCUCCUAACGGAUUGCAACUGAUAGCAGGGGUUGCGCUCGUUAAAGGACUUAACCCAACAUCUCACGACACGAGCUGACGACAGCCAUGCAGCACCUGUGUACCUGUUCAGGCUUACGCCGGAAAAACCGUAUUUCUACAGUGGUCAAGUACAUGUCAAGCCCAGGUAAGGUUCCUCGCGUAGUAUCGAAUUAAACCACAUGUUCCACCGCUUGUGCGGACCCCCGUCAAUUCCUUUGAGUUUUAGCCUUGCGACCGUACUCCCCAGGCGGGUCACUUAACGCGUUAGCUACGACACUGAUCCCGCAAAGCGGAACCAACGUCUAGUGACCAUCGUUUACAGCGUGGACUAC
rnacentral:misc_RNA from 1 species